rnacentral:rRNA from 1 species
GUAGGGUGCGAGCGUUAAUCGGAAUUACUGGGGCGUAAAGCGUGCGCAGGCGGUUGUGCAAGACAGAUGUGAAAUCCCCCGGGGCUCAACCUGGGGAAUUGCAUUUGUGACUGCACGGCUAGAGUGUGUCAGAGGGGGGUAGAAUUCCACGUGUAGCAGUGAAAUGCGUAGAGAUGUGGAGGAAUACCGAUGGCGAAGGCAGCCCCCUGGGAUAACACUGACGCUCAUGCACGAAAGCGUGGGGAGCAAACAGGAUUAGAUACCCUGGUAGUCCACGCCCUAAACGAUGUCAACUAGUUGUCGGGUCUUAAUUGACUUGGUAACGCAGCUAACGCGUGAAGUUGACCGCCUGGGGAGUACGGUCGCAAAGAUUAA